CACGUAGUUAGCCGGGGCUUUCUUACGAGGUACCGUCAUUCUUCGUCCCUCGCGACAGGAGUUUACAAUCCGAAAACCUUCAUCCUUCACGCGGCGUUGCUGGGUCAGGCUUGCGCCCAUUGCCCAAUAUUCCCCACUGCUGCCUCCCGUAGGAGUUUGGACCGUUUCUCAGUUCCAAUGUGGCCGAUCACCCUCUCAGGUCGGCUACCCAUCGUCGCCUUGGUAGGCCGUUACCCUACCAACUAGCUAAUGGGACGCGAGCUCAUCUCUACCCGUCGGAGCUUUUACCACAUGCCCAUGCAGGCUCGUGGUCUUAUACGGUAUUAGCACCUAUUUCUAAGUGUUAUCCCAUUGGUAGAGGCAGAUUGCUCACGCGUUACUCACCCGUCCGCCGCUGACGUAUUGCUACGCCCGCUCGACUUGCAUGUGUUAAGCACGCCGCCAGCGUUCGUCCUGAGCCAGGAUCAAACUCU
rnacentral:rRNA from 1 species